ACAAUAAACGUCAAAAUAACAGUUUAAAGAGACAUUUAAUAUUUAUGCUUGUAAGUAAACAUGUUCGCUUUACAGAAUUGUAAACCUCAUUCAUUUGGCAAAUUAAAUCUGAAAAUGGAGAGAAUUAAACGUCAAAGAUAACAUUUUUAAUAUUAAUUAAUUCCAAUUUGACACUUAAUCUUGACGGAUAGUAGAUAUCAGUCAGUAAAAGUUAGUGACGUUCGUUUUUAGAUUGACAGUUGUAGAAUGAACAUAACCUCACUUAAUACUUGAUGGAAAAUAUUAUAUAGUUCGGUCAUAAAAAUGGUAUUUGGGUGGUACCUACAGGUGGUCUUUUUAAAAAACUACGACACUAACAACUAAUUUAAAAAAAAUAAUUGACUUUUAACUAUUUAAAGUUUGACGACGAAGUUUGAAUGACAGUAUAAAGUACAAUUUUAAAAUGAAAAUGAAUUGGUGGGUGUUCCAAAUUUGGUAACGCCGAGAACGUGACAGAACGACAUCGAUCGAAACGGGUUCGGGGGUACGCACACAGGAAAUCGCCAUCAGGCGGAGAGUAAAAUAGGCAGAUCGUGCGAUCGGCCGCGUGAAAUUGGCCCCUAAUAAACGACCGAUAUCGGAUCUCAAUCGAUUUGUUUGUCGAGAACGUGCCGCCCCGGUACCGAGUCCGAUCUAUUCUCGGCCCAACUGCUACGAUCAAGAACACGUCAACCAGAGCCCAUUUCAAGAAAUCCAAAAUAUCCGUGUAGAAAUUACAAGCUAUCGAAAUCUAUGUAAGGAAGCACAAGUUACAAGAGACACUAUGUGGUGGAACAAAUACAUGCCAUGGUGCGACCAUAUGGUAUCGAGACCAUAGCAAAAACAAAGGAGACUAAACAGAGGAUGAGGGUGAUGGAGAUGAAAGUCUUGAGAUCUAUGUUGAAUGUGACACUGCGAGAUAGGCAGAUCAACACCUCUAUCAGAGCAAGAUGUAACAUACAAGAUGUAGUAAACUUGACAAAAGUCAGAAAGAAAAGAUGGAAGGAGCAUGUGGGAAGAAUGAAUGAGAGGAGAUUCAGAAUAUGCAUGUAUGGACGACUGUCCAAGAGAUGGGCACAGAGCUGGUUCUCCUCGUCUGCGGAGUAAAGUCCAAACAUGAAGCUUGACAAACAGGGAUGCAUCCCUACCUCGAAAGUAGAAGAAGAAGAUUUAUGUUUUCUAAAACAACAAAGAGUUCUGUAAGAUAUUCUUAGAUAGAUAACUAGUCUUUUUAAAUGUCAAAAAUUUAAGCUCAAAAUAAAAUUAAGAUGAGAUCAU